rnacentral:rRNA from 1 species
UUAAAUGGCCGCGGUAUCCUAACCGUGCAAAGGUAGCAUAAUCACUUGUUUACUAAAUAUAGACUCGUAUGAACGGCACCACGAGGGCUACACUGUCUCCCCAAUUUAAUCAGUUAAACUGAUCCCCCCGUGAAGAAGCGGGGAUUAUAAUAUAAGACGAGAAGACCCCAUGGAGCUUUAAACUAAAACCAACUGCCAAACCCAACACCACUAUAUAUUGCAGCAAUGACUCAAAGUUUUCGGUUGGGGCGACCACGGAGCACAACAAAACCUCCACGAUGAACGAACAUAAAACUCUCACCCAAGAACCACACCACAAAGGACCACUAACGUGACAUCCAUUGACCCAAACACUUGAUCAACGAACCUAGUUACCCUGGGGAUAACAGCGCAAUCCAUUUCAAGAGCCCGUAUCGACAAAUGGGUUUACGACCUCGA